GAUGAACGCUGGCGGCGUGCUUAACACAUGCAAGUCGAACGGUGAAGCAGGAGCUUGCUCUUGUGGAUCAGUGGCGAACGGGUGAGUAACACGUGAGCAACCUGCCCCUGACUCUGGGAUAAGCGCUGGAAACGGCGUCUAAUACUGGAUAUGUUAUGUGACCGCAUGGUCUGCAUCUGGAAAGAAUUUCGGUUGGGGAUGGGCUCGCGGCCUAUCAGAUUGUUGGGGAGGGAAUGGCUCACCAAGGCGUCGCCGGGUAGCCGGCCUGGGAGGGUGACCGGCCACACUGGGACUGAGACACGGCCCAGACUCCUACGGGAGGCAGCAGUGGGGAAUAUUGCACAAUGGGCGGAAGCCUGAUGCAGCAACGCCGCGUGAGGGAUGACGGCCUUCGGGUUGUAAACCUCUUUUAGCAGGGAAGAAGCGAAAGUGACGGUACCUGCAGAAAAAGCACCGGCUAACUACGUGCCAGCCGCCGCCGUAA
rnacentral:rRNA from 1 species